UACGUAGGGGGCAAGCGUUGUCCGGAAUCAUUGGGCGUAAAGAGCGUGUAGGCGGCCCGACAAGUCCGCCGUGAAAGUCCAGGGCUCAACCCUGGAAUGCCGGUGGAAACUGUCGGGCUGGAGUCCGGAAGAGGCGAGUGGAAUUCCUGGUGUAGCGGUGAAAUGCGCAGAUAUCAGGAGGAACACCAAUGGCGAAGGCAGCUCGCUGGGGCGGUACUGACGCUGAGACGCGAAAGCGUGGGGAGCAAACAGG
rnacentral:rRNA from 1 species